rnacentral:rRNA from 1 species
GACAGAGGUGCCAAGCGUUAGGCGGAAUCACUGGGCUUAAAGCGUGUGUAGGCGGACUUGUAAGUACCUUGUGAAAUCCCAUGGCUCAACCAUGGAACUGCUCGGUAUACUGCUUUUCUUGAGCCACUUAGGGGCUACCGGAACAAAUGGUGGAGCGGUGAAAUGCGUAGAUAUCAUUUGGAACGCCAAUGGUGAAAACAGGUAGCUGGGAGUGUGCUGACGCUGAGACACGAAAGCCAGGGGAGCAAACGGG